GAAAUGCGAUAAGUAAUGUGAAUUGCAGAAUUCAGUGAAUCAUCGAAUCUUUGAACGCACCUUGCGCUCCUUGGUAUUCCGAGGAGCAUGCCUGUUUGAGUGUCAUGGAAUUCUCAACUCUAUUUGCUUUUGUGAAUAGAGCUUGGAUUUGGAGGUUUAUUGCUGGUACUUGUGAUCGGCUCCUCUUGAAUGCAUUAGCUCGAACCUUUGCGGAUCAGCUAUCGGUGUGAUAAUUGUCUACGCCGUUGCAGUGAAGCAUAUCAAUGGGCUCGGCUUCCAAUCGUCCUUUACUGGACAAUGACUUUGACCUUUGACCUCAAAUCAGGUAGGAUUACCCGCUGAACUUAAG
rnacentral:misc_RNA from 1 species